ensembl:lncRNA
CCGCAGUAUUGGAAGAGCUUGUACUACAAAUUCAUCAGUGAGGUGCACGACGCAGGCGUAGGCCUCACUGCAGGUACAACAGGACGAUAAGGAAGGAGAUCAAGAGAGAAUGCUAAUCCUGGUGUCCAGUAGAUAGAUACAAAAGAGUGACUGUGUCAAGGGGGCCUGGCAUGCAAGGCUUAGAGCCCACCAGAUUACCUGCCGCCCCAGAUCCCCAGCCUCCUGCCCAGGAUGGCUUUCCUCAUGAGGGUUGACUUCCAUAGAGCGGAUCCUGACACAGAUGUUGUGGAGCUGGUGAACGAAUGUGGAAGUACAACCAAACCUACCAGCUUGCCCAGGGUGUACGAGUACUCUCUCACUCUCUCUCUCUCUCUCUCUCUCUCUCACGCACUCACUCACACACACAAAUGAUUGUUGUCUUAUAAACAAUGACAGGCCAGCGGGGUCUGACAACUUGGAUGGAAAGUUACUGAGGAUAAUAGAGGACAAUACUGCCACUCUUAUUUGCCACAUUGAAUUUAAGCCUAUUAGAAAGUGUGUGCCCUCAGGCCUGGAGGGAGGCUAAAGUCAUUAUGCUACCUAAGAAUAGUAAAUUCUCCUUUACUGGCUCAAAUAGCCGACCAAUCAGACUGUUACCAACCCUGAGUAAACUUUUGGAAAAAAUGGGGUUUGACCAGAUACAAUGCUAUUUUACAGUAAACAAAUUGACAACAGACUUUCAGCACGCUUAUAGGGAAGGACAUUCAACAAGCACAGCACUUACACAAAUGACUGAUGAUUGGCUGAGAGAAAAUAAUUAUAAAAAUAUUGUGGGGGCUGUUCAGUGCGGCUUUUAACAUUAUCGAUAACAGUCUGCUGCUGGAAAAAUUCAAGUUUUAUGGCUUGACACUCCCUACGAUAUUGUGGAUAAACGAUAUUGUGGAUAACCUGUCUAACAAAACACAGAGGGUGUUCUCUCCAGCAUAAUACAGGUAGAUUCAGGAAUUCCCUAGGGCAGCUGUCUAAGCCCCUAGAGACUGCAUCAUCUGUGGAUCUGUUGGUGCGGUAUGCAAAUGGAGUGGGUCUAGGGUUUCUGGGAUAAUGUUGUUGAUGUGAGCCAUGACCAGCCUUUCAAAGCACUUCAUGACUACAGACGUGAGUGCUAUGGGUCGGUAAUCAUUUAGGCAGGUUACCUUAGUGUUUUUGGGCACAGGGACUAUGGUGGUCUGCUUGAAACAUGUUGGUAUUACAGGAUCAGACAGGGAGAGGUUGAAAAUGUCAGUGAAGACUCUUGCCAGUUGGUCUGUGCAUGCUCAUAGUACACAUUCUGGUAAUCCGUCUGGCCCAGCGGCCUUGUGAAUGUUGACCUGUUUAGAGGUCUUCCUCCCAUCGGCUGCGGAGAGCGUGAUCUGGAACAGCUGUGUGAAUGCUGAUCUAUUUAAGGUUCUUACUCCCAUUGGCUGCUGAG